GACGGUUCCCGAACGGGACGAAGAGGGAAUCCGGUGCGUCGGCGAGCCUGUCCGGCCCGCUCCGCCGUCCUGAGCCGGACUGCGGAAAAGGCUCGGCACCGUCGGCGAAGCCGGAGCUGCCCCCGCAACUGUGAGCGGCGAGUGCCGCGGGCCAUUGAAGGACGUCACUGGGACCGACCGGUCCCGGGAAGGCGCAAGGCCCCGGCACGAGGACCCGCAAGCCAGGAGACCUGCCGUCGUCGUU
rnacentral:ncRNA from 1 species